CCUACGGGCGGCUGCAGUGAGGAAUAUUGGUCAAUGGGCGCGAGCCUGAACCAGCCAAGUCGCGUGAGGGAGGACGGCCCUACGGGUUGUAAACCUCUUUUGCCGGGGAGCAACGGGCGUCACGUGUGGCGCCACUGAGAGUACCCGGAGAAAAAGCAUCGGCUAACUCCGUGCCAGCAGCCGCGGUAAUACGGAAGAUGCGAGCGUUCUCCGGAUUUAUUGGGUUUAAAGGGUGCGUAGGCGGAUCGUUAAGUCAGUGGUCAAAUUGAGGGGCUCAACCCCUUCCCGCCAUUGAAACUGGCGUUCUUGAGUGGAAGAGAAGUAUGCGGAAUGCGUGGUGUAGCGGUGAAAUGCAUAGAUAUCACGCAGAACCCCGAUUGCGAAGGCAGCAUGCCGGCUUCCGACUGACGCUGAAGCACGAAAGCGUGGGGAUCGAACAGGAUUAGAUACCCCAGUAGUC
rnacentral:rRNA from 1 species